GCUGGAGUAGCUCAGUUGGUAGAGCACGUCCUUGGUAAGGACGAGGUCACGGGUUCGACCCCCGUCUCCAGCU
rnacentral:tRNA from 1 species